rnacentral:rRNA from 1 species
AUUGAACGCUGGCGGCAGGCCUAACACAUGCAAGUCGAACGAGUGGCGGACGGGUGAGUAAUGUCUGGGAAACUGCCUGAUGGAGGGGGAUAAAUACUGGAAACGGUAGCUAAUACCGCAUACCAUCAGAUGUGCCCAGAGUGGAUUAGCUAGUAGGUGGGGUAAGGGCUCACCUAGGCGCCGAUCCCUAGCUGGUCUGCGAGGAUGACCAGCCACACUGGAACUGAGACACGGUCCAGACUCCUACGGGAGGCAGCAGUGGGGAAUAUUGCACAAUGGGCGCAAGCCUGAUGCAGCCAUGCCGCGUGUGUGAAGAAGGCCUUCGGGUUGUAAAGCACUUUCAGCGGGGAGGCGUUACCCGCAGAAGAAGCACCGGCUAACUCCGUGCCAGCAGCCGCGGUAAUAC